GAUGAAGAACGUAGCGAAAUGCGAUAAGUAAUGUGAAUUGCAGAAUUCAGUGAAUCAUCGAAUCUUUGAACGCACAUUGCGCCCCCUGGUAUUCCGGGGGGCAUGCCUGUCCGAGCGUCAUUACAACCCUCAAGCUCAGCUUGGUGUUGGGCCCCGCCGCCCCGGCGGGCCCUAAAGUCAGUGGCGGUGCCGUCCGGCUCCGAGCGUAGUAAUUCUUCUCGCUCUGGAGGUCCGGUCGUGUGCUCGCCAGCAACCCCCAAUUUUUUUCAGGUUGACCUCGGAUCAGGUAGGGAUACCCGCUGAGCUUAAGCAUAUCAAUAAGCGGAGGA
rnacentral:misc_RNA from 1 species